GCCGGGUGUUGGGGUGGGCACCUGUGGUCCCAGCUAUUUGGGAGGCUGAGGCAGGAGACUCGCUUGAGCCCAGGAGUUGGAGGUUGCUGUGAGCUGUGAUGCCACAGCACUCUACCCAAGGGGACAGCUUGAGGCUCUGUCUCAAAAAAAAAAAAGAGAGAGAGAGAGACUGAGUCUUAUUCUGCCACCCUGGGUAGCGUGCAGUGCAUCAUCAUCGCUCACAUCAACCUCAAACUCCUGCGUUCAAGUGAUUCUCUUGCCU
rnacentral:sRNA from 1 species